UGAUAUUUUUACUCAUUCCCAAGU
rnacentral:piRNA from 1 species